UCUCACUAUGUUGCCCAGGCUGGUCUCAAACUCCUGGCCUCAAGAGAGUCUCCUGCUUUGGCCUCGAAGAGCUACAGGCAUGAGCUACUGCGCCCAGCCUAACUCAAGCUUCUUAACUGGCGUCCUGUUUUCACACUUGCCCCUGCUACAAUCUCAGUUAUGUUACUUUCUUCAAAGCGCUGUCUAAAAUUAUCUCAUUAAUAUUAUCUCACUAACUAAUGUGUUUAUUGACUAUUGCCUAUCCCCCCUCAUUACAUAAACUCCCCUAUAGGGGAAGGAACAGCAUGCAUCUUGUUCAAUUUGGUAUCUCCAGCCCUCAGAGAAGUACCCAGCACAUAGUGGGAGCUUGAUGUAUAUCCGUUGAAUAAAUGAAUGCAUGAGCCAAUGAAUGAAAAUCUGGAUUUCAGCCAAAGGCUUUUGGCCAAGUAUUACACAGAAGGUGAAGAAAGUGACCUGGAAGAUGGCACGCUGAUGGGGACAGUUGCCUGGGUGCACUCAAAGUGUGGCGUUCGGAGCAGGAGGCUGAUGGCCUUGCCCUAUUCCCACCACUCUGAGGUCACUAGGCCAAGUUUAGCAGAAAUGGAUGGCCCUUCUAAAUGGGUAGGUCACUAGAGGAGAGCGACUGGCAAGGGCAGACUUGAUGGGGCGGUGGCUGGUGCAGGUGGUAGUGGACAGAUGGGAUAAUGCAGACAUUUUUGGGAAAGGGAUUAGGUUUAGUCCAUGCGGCCCUAGGGAGUGAAAUGGGGGGUGGAGGCUGGAAGUUACAGGCACGUGUUUGACCAGUGCAGGGGAGAGGUUCCUAACCAGUGGCACUGGCCUGCGCCGGACUCGGAGCCCUCUCGAAGGUGAAAGUGUUCUCCAAAUAGGGGGCUUAGUACAGGGCCUGGCCCGGAGUGAAGUUCAGAAUAAACACGACUAUCAUUUCUCUUGGAUGAAGGUAAUCUGAGGACUUCCACUGACUGCUCGUAGGGGAAGCGCUGGCCCAGUUUCCGUCUGAGGGUCUGUCUGAGGAUAAGCGCAUGGUGCCCCGGGAAAAAUGAACUGCAGCGAAGAGGCAUAAAGACAAGGUGGUGGUGGGGCUGGGGGAAGAAAUGUCCGUGGAUGCCUGGGACUCCAAGGCGCAUGCAGAACCCGCUGGCAGUGACUGAGGGGUUCAUGGCCAAGACCUCUGGGCACAGCCAGCAGCCUCUCAGAGGAAGCCUGGAUUCUGCAGGCGGGCGAUCUCCCGGCCCUGUCCAAAUUCCCCACACCCGAGUGAGCAGAGAUGUUCACGGAACCCAUCUAAAAAGCCCAGAAUUUUUGUGAUGGCCUCAAUCUAUAGAUUUGACUUGAAAUACGUGGUUCUUAUUAAAUAUCUUUUUGCUCUGA